AACCCAGCUGUGCCACUUGCACCCGCUGAAGCCCAACGCAGCACCUGCCCCGCCACGGGCGCUUCCACCGAUGUGUGUUUGAUUGAGUUGGAAACAAACGCGAGAGAGGAAGAAUUAUUACUGGCUGAGAAGAACUAAGUUGAGCUACAUAAUGAAGGAAAGAAGUGGAACAAUGAGGAUGUCCGAGCAGGGAAAGCCUUAGGGACUGGAGUUCAGAGUGGAGCCCAUGGCCCUGGAGCAGCUACGGGACACUGACCUGGCUUGGAGGAAUGGGCGUCCGGGAUGGGCUGAUAUGGUUAUGACCUGGAGCCCUUUUAAUGUUUUCCAGAGAUGUGAUUAAAUAAUGGAUUUUAUUUUGUA